rnacentral:rRNA from 1 species
AUUGAACGCUGGCGGCAUGCCUUACACAUGCAAGUCGAACGGUAGCGGGCCUUCGGGUGCCGACGAGUGGCGAACGGGUGAGUAAUAUAUCGGAACGUACCUUUCAGUGGGGGAUAACGUAGCGAAAGUUACGCUAAUAGCGCAUCUUCUGUGAGCAGGAAAGCAGGGGACCUUCGGGCCUUGCGCGGAUGGAGCGGCCGAUAUCAGAUUAGCUAGUUGGUGAGGUAAAGGCUCGCCAAGGCGACGAGCUGUAGCGGGUCUGAGAGGAAGAUCCGCCACACUGGAACUGAGACACGGUCCAGACUCCUACGGGAGGCAGCAGUGGGGAAUUUUGGACAAUGGGGGCAACCCUGAUCCAGCCAUGCCGCGUGAGUGAAGAAGGCCUUCGGGUUGUAAAGCUCUUUCGGCCGGGAAGAAAUCGUAUGGGCUAAUACCCUGUGCGGAUGACGGUACCGGCAUAAGAAGCACCGGCUAACUACGUGCCAGCCGCCGCCGUAAAAC